rnacentral:rRNA from 1 species
UGCCUAUACAUGCAAGUCGAGCGAACGGACGAAGAGUGCUUGCACUCUCUGAUGUUAGCGGCGGACGGGUGAGUAACACGUGGGUAACCUACCUAUAAGACUGGGAUAACUUCGGGAAACCGGAGCUAAUACCGGAUAAUAUUUAGCUUCGCAUGAAGCAAUAGUGAAAGACGGUUCUGCUGUCACUUAUAGAUGGACCCGCGGUGUAUUAGCUAGUUGGUGAGGUAACGGCUCACCAAGGCAACGAUACAUAGCCGACCUGAGAGGGUGAUCGGCCACUGG